GACGAACGCUGGCGGCGUGCUUAACACAUGCAAGUCGAACGAUGAAGCCGGAGCUUGCUCUGGUGAAUUAGUGGCGAACGGGUGAGUAACACGUGAGUAACCUGCCCUUGACUCUGGGAUAACUGCGGGAAACUGUAGCUAAUACCGGAUACGACCCUCGGAGGCAUCUCCUGGGGGUGGAAAGAAUUUCGGUCAAGGAUGGACUCGCGGCCUAUCAGCUAGUUGGUGAGGUAAAGGCUCACCAAGGCGACGACGGGUAGCCGGCCUGAGAGGGUGAGCGGCCACACUGGGACUGAGACACGGCCCAGACUCCUACGGGAGGCAGCAGUGGGGAAUAUUGCACAAUGGGCGCAAGCCGGAUGCAGCAACGCCGCGUGAGGGAUGGCGGCCUUCGGGUUGUAAACCUCUUUUAGCAGGGAAGAAGCGAAAGUGACGGUACCUGCAGAAAAAGCACCGGCUAACUACGUGCCAGCCGCCGCGGUAA
rnacentral:rRNA from 1 species